UUUCCUACGGGGGGCAGCAGUGGGGGAUAUUGCACAAUGGGGGGAACCCUGAUGCAGCGACGCCGCGUGGGUGAAGAAGCGCCUCGGCGCGUAAAGCCCCGUCAGCAGGGAAGAACGGUCACUGUGCUAAUCAGCAGUGAAUUGACGGUACCUGCAAAGGAAGCACCGGCUAACUCCGUGCCAGCAGCCGCGGUAAUACAGAGGGUGCGAGCGUUAAUCGGAAUUACUGGGCGUAAAGCGCUCGUAGGCGGUAUGUCAAGUCAAGGGUGAAAUCCCCGCGCUCAACGUGGGAACUGCCUUUGAAA
rnacentral:rRNA from 1 species